GUCUCUGUAGCUCAGUGGCAGAGCACUGGGCUUGUAAACCGGGGGUCAUGGGCUCAAUCCUCACAGGAGGCA